rnacentral:rRNA from 1 species
AUACGGAGGGUGCAAGCGUUACUCCGAAUCACUGGGCGUAAAGCGCGCGCAGGCGGCUAUUUAAGUUGGAUGUGAAAGCCUACGGCUCAACCGUAGAACUGCAUCCAAAACUAUUUAGCUAGAGUGUGAGAGAGGAAGAUGGAAUUAGUUGUGUAGGGGUAAAAUCCGUAGAGAUAACUAGGAAUACCAAAAGCGAAGGCAAUCUUCUGGAACACUACUGACGCUGAGGCGCGAAAGCGUGGGGAGCAAACAGAAUUAGAUACCCUAGUAGUCC